GCCCUUGUAGCCAAGCGAAUAAGGCAUCCGGCUUCGAACCGGAAGAUCGGGAGUUUGAAUCUCUCCAAGGGCG
rnacentral:tRNA from 1 species